CCCCAACGAGACUAUUUAGUUAACCCAUUUCAGGUUGUUUAGAUCCACAUAAUUUG
rnacentral:tRNA from 1 species